UUCCUGGUAGGCCGACCGAUUCAGUUCGAUUCUGUUCGGAACAGCUUUGUGGAACGGCAGUUGCAGGUGUCCGCUACGAAACGGUAAGCCGAUCCCGUGGUGCCGAUACUCUGUGGGAGUCUUGCAUAAUUUAGCCAACGAUUCCCGGAGUAUAGACGCGCCUCCAAUUAUGCGGCGAAUAGGGGAAAAAAAAGGAGAUAGAAAUACGCAAACAUUCUCUCCCGAUGUACCGGAUGCUACGAGGCGAAACCGAAGCAAAGAAUAUUUCAUCAACCCUCGGAUAGCAGCAGACCUGGGUCACCAGAGACGAUUCCAUUAUUUAUUCAUACGCCGCCGAAUAAAUGGUAUUUCUGGACUGCUGACCUCUAUGCAAAUUCGCGUUUUCAAGGACUAAUUAACCAAGCAGUUUGGUGGAAGUUCGCUACCUCGAUAAACGCUCUUUUCAGAAAAAACGCUCGUAUUACAGUUUCUCCCUCGUUCAACUUUUGUACGACAUUUUUAUCGCGUACACGUAAAUGCCCACCGUUUAGGUGUUUCUCUUUUGCGAAUUGUGCAGAAGCAAAAUUAAUUGCGGACUUCGCGCUACUAUUCACGAUACAAAUAUUCAAGCUAUUUGACUGAUGUUCGCUGCAGAAAAUUUUGAUUCUUGACCUGCAAUUACUUACGGAAUCUCUGUGCAAAAUAAAAACAAUUUGUAUCAAGAAACAGGA